CAGCAGUAGCCGCGGGAAAACAGAGGGUGCGAGCGUUAAUCGGAUUUACUGGGCGUAAAGCGUGCGUAGGCGGCUUUUUAAGUCGGAUGUGAAAUCCCUGAGCUUAACUUAGGAAUUGCAUUCGAUACUGGGAAGCUAGAGUAUGGGAGAGGAUGGUAGAAUUCCAGGUGUAGCGGUGAAAUGCGUAGAGAUCUGGAGGAAUACCGAUGGCGAAGGCAGCCAUCUGGCCUAAUACUGACGCUGAGGUACGAAAGCAUGGGGAGCAAACAGGAUUAGAUACCCCAGUAGUCCCUGUCUCUUAUAA
rnacentral:rRNA from 1 species